UACGGAGGGUGCAAGCGUUAUCCGGAUUCACUGGGCUUAAAGGGUGCGUAGGCGGGCAUUUAAGUCAGUGGUGAAAUACCUGAGCUUAACUUGGGAACUGCCAUUGAUACUAUUUGUCUUGAAUGUCGUGGAGGUUAGCGGAAUAUGUCAUGUAGCGGUGAAAUGCUUAGAUAUGACAUAGAACACCUAUGGCGAAGGCAGCUAACUACGCGAAUAUUGACGCUGAGGCACGAAAGCGUGGGGAUCAAACAGG
rnacentral:rRNA from 1 species